rnacentral:tRNA from 1 species
GGGGCAGUAGCUCAACUGGGAGAGCGCCACAAUGGCAUUGUGGAGGUCGAGAGUUCGAGCCUCUUCUGCUCCA